rnacentral:tRNA from 1 species
GCGGGAGUAGCUCAGUGGUAGAGCUUCUCGUUGCCAACGAGAAGGUCGCGGGUUCGAAUCUCGUCUCCCGCUCCA